rnacentral:lncRNA from 1 species
GGACGUUUCACCAACUUCUUACUACAGUCUGUGCCCUCCUCCAAGUUGCAGAAGGACUUUAGUCUUUUAUCCUGGGGUCCCUGUUGCUAUGCCUUUGUCUACAUCAUUGGUUUCUUUUUUCUAACAAAUCACACCCCUCUCAGGGCCCAGCUGGUUUUCAUAUGCUCCCUCUCAUUAAUUAAACUUUCAUCACCAGCGAGAACAACCAUCACAGGGAGUGCGGGUCUGCUGUGUGCCAAAGCUCAACUGCUGCUGGGGCCUGGCCAUCUCCCAGGAAGGCAGCAUGGACCCUCACCACGGGUGCCCUGCCUCCAGGAGUGGACAGAGGCUGACCCCCCGAUGCCCCCAAACACUGACCCUCACAGCCCUCGACCUCCUGCUCCUGCAAUAGGCAGGUGAUGUGAAGGUGUCUCAUCAGCUGUCAAGCUACCAGUUUAGAACACACCACGUUGAGGAGAGAAAAUAUUAGUUUACCUGGACUUUUAAUGACUGCGGAUUUCUCGGAGCACUGGAGCAGAAAGACUGACCAUCUGUGGGACAUCGCUGGACCCAGGCUCUGCUGUUCUCCAGUGAGUGACCCCUCAUGGGGAACUGCUUACUCCUCUGGUUACUGUCCUCAGCAAAGACAGAAGGGAGUUGCCGGGCUGUGGCUCUUCCUGUGUUGGCGAUGAAACUGUGC